AACGCACAUUGCGCCCGCCAGCAUUCUGGCGAGCAUGCCUGUCCGAGCGUCAUUUCAAACCCUCAGGCUCUAAAAGUGCCUGGUGUUGGGGUGCUACGCCGCCUGUGCUUAACAGGUGCGUAGGCCCUGAAAUUCAGUGGCGGGUCCGUUAGGGCUCCGGGCGUAGUAGUUUUACCACCUCGCCUAGGCGGUCUAGUGGCCCCUGCCGUGAAAAAAAACAAAAACAAAAAACAACUAGUUUGACCUCGGAUCAGGUAGGAAUACCCGCUGAACUUAA
rnacentral:misc_RNA from 1 species